CGGGUUCCGGAUUUUAUGCCCAGGCCUAGUGUUUUGUUUUGAGUGUCAGUUGAGUCAUUUUAUAUAGUCAAAAAAGGGAUGAUUAACUUUUUCUUGGAACCAACUGCCUAACUACUCUCCAAUACCAUUUUUUCAUUUGCUGAUUGCAUGGUGUACUGAAUAGAAACACCAAAGUUGAUUGACAUGCCAGUAACCUCCACGUUGCUAAGAAUGUCUGAAGGAACCAAAGCUGACUUCCAACCUUAAUUUACAUCAAUCGCUUGUUUUGGGGUUUGGUAUACACUAGAUCGGAUUCCUCCUGCGAGUCUGAAAGGUAGAAGUCUUUGUGUAUUGGUUCCCAUCUCUUUUUUUUCCGAUAUAUAAGACUGAAAUGACUUCCUGAGGAGUAGAGGGAUCUGGAAAUUUUCAUCGACCCCAUUAUUCUACUUUAAUGGAAUGAUCACACAUCGAUGGAAGUAAGGGGUAGAAAAAUUUCCUAUGACCUCAUUAUUCGCCUAUGUCUUUGUCAGAUAUAAUAAAAUGAAAAAAAAGAAAAAUCGACCAUAAAGGGAAAAAUAUAGAGGAAAGGGACCAGCGGACACUAUAUGUGUGUUCUAGUACUUGCUAGAGUAAGAUGCCAUGUUCAGUGAUCGAUAUUCCGAAGAUAAAGACUACACAUUUAUUGCAGAAAUGAGGCCAGUAGAGGGGUAUGUCAUAUAGUGUCUAGUAAGUUGUGGGCUGGAUGGUCAGGUUGCUAAGCUAAGACAAAAAACAUGGAAGUGCCUCUAAAGUUGUCAAUGAUUCGAUGUGGCUUGCAACACUGUAUAGGUGAUUGUAGUUGUUCGAAAGAACAGGGAGUCCCUACGUUUUCAAACCUCUUCCACAUGUACAUUCUAUGUUUUGCUAGAGGAUAAGCAAAGGAUAAGUCCGGGGGAGUUGAUAUUUAUGUUUUUUUACCAGUUUUAGCCAUAGUAUAAACCGUAGUUAGAGUCUUUAUAUUAUGUUUUGAGUCUAUUUUAGGAUCUUUUCAUAAAGACGAAGAAACCUGCAGCUGUUCAAGAAAUUAGAAAUUUAGGCCGAUAUUUGGAAGGAGUGUCGAUCAACACCUUGUUGAGUGACGAUUGACACCAAAGCGGAUACGUGGGCCGACUCUGUUUCCAGAACCAAGUUUGGCCCAAAAAUUUCUACAAAUUACAAUAAAGCCUCUAGACGUGUUUUGAUCUAUUUAUUUUAUUUUACAACCAUUGUUUAAGCUAAGCUCUUUAUUAUUCUUAGAGAGGUUUUUGGAGAGAAGAUCACAAGGCUCCUUCAAAGAUUUGAUUGGAAAUCCAAUAUUUCUAUAUCUAUGUUUUAAUGCAAUUCAUUCAGUAUAUAUUUAUGUCUUGCUUAAUUAUGUCAGAGUAGUUUACUUGUUAGAUUUAGGGUUUUCUAGGGUUUUGAUGAACUUGUAAAAUAUAGAACUGCUAAGGUGAUCAUAUUGGAUCCUUCACAUGAUUUUUCUUACUUCUUAUAUUCCAGAAUAGCUAACUAGAAACAUGAUCAUAGGAUAAGCGACAAUCACAAAAGUGGGUUCGACUCUUGAAUCUAAUUCUACUGAGCUAGGUUGAUACAUACAGUGGAGUGGUUUAGGAAACUUAGUGAACUAAUUGAAUCUGAACAUUAAUGCUUGUCUGAAGUAACUGAAUUCGUAUACAAGAGUUUAAAUUCUAAAUUUAGACAUCUGAUAAGGCUCGUAGUGAGAGCUUUCUAUCUUAUUUACUGAAUUCGAGUUGAGUUCUGAUUGCAUGUUUGAAACCCUAAGUCUCGUGACUUUCCCAUAUAUCUCCCAACCGAUUUUAUUGUUUUAUUUACUGUUUUAUUAUUGCUUAGCUUUAGAUCAAUAAGUAAAUUGUGUGAUCCACACUCCAUGUGGAUUUGAUCCCUAAUUGAUGCAAUCAAUCUCUUAUUUGAGAGAGUAGCCCUAGGGUAUUUUGAGCUACAUCACCGGCACUGAUUUUCUGAUUGAGCUGAAAUUUGACAGAUGUCGUAUUUAAUUAUUCACCUUGGAUUUGUACGAGGUAUUAGUCUUUGGUAGCCAAAAUCCUAGUGAGCUGAGAUUGUUUUAUGCCUGCCUGUUUGAAACUCUUGUAUUACUCUUUUGUUGUUGUUGUAUCUUUUGUUGGAGAUAGUUUUUUGUAGCUAGAGUUUUUGGAUCUAUCCAGGUUGUUGAACAUAGAGGACAUGGUUGUAAUUGAUAUCACUCAAAUUAUUCCAAGUAGUGAUUUUUACUCUCUCAAAUAAGAGGUUCAGUCGUAGUACUUAGGGAUCAAAUCCACAAGGAGUUAAGGCACACAAUAGAUCCUAAUCAGCUUAUGAUUAAGCUAGGUAAACAGAGUAAAUUAAAUAAUAGCAGGGGUGAACAAGGCAGUUGUUCAGUUGUUUGAUUGAUUGGUUGGGGUUGUAAACAAUUAUGAGAAAAUAGCUAGAUCUAGGGUUUCAGGUAAUAAGGAUUAUAGUGAUAUAUAUGCUUAGGUUGUCAAUCCUAGAAUUCGAAUUCUAAUGAUAAUGUAUACUAGCUUCCGCAUGCCAAUAAAUCCUAUUGAAUAAGUCAUAUAUCUUAGUUGUCUUUUGUUGAUAUGGAUCGAACGUCGAUCGAUGCUAUGAGAUUAGCGUCGAUCGAUGUUUCCUUAGGCAAGCUUUAGCGAGCUGUUCGAUAGGUUCACUAAUAUUAACUAAAUCAGUUGUCGCUUAUUUCUAGCAAUCAUAGCUAAAGGGAAUUCAUUCAGGUAACAUACCAUAAAGUCGCGUGCGCCUAAUUAUUCUAAGUUUAGGGUUCUAGUUAGAUACUCUAGAACACAAGCAUUACAAACAAUUCCUUGAAGGAAAUGAUGUUUGAUAUCACUCAAAUUACCCUAAGGAGUGAAUUACUCACUCAAAUAAGAGGUUCAGUUGUAGUACUUAGGGAUCAAAUUCACAAGGAGCUAGGGAACCUAAUAAAUCUAAUCAUAUUGGUUAAGCUAGAUUGAUUUUAUGUUUAAAUGUAAAUAGCAGGUUUGUUUGCAAAGUAAUUGCUCGAUUGAUUGAUUGGGGUUUUGAUACUUAGGUGAAAGUAGCUAGAGUUAGGGUUUUUAUUCAGGUAAUCAUGAUUAUAAUCCUACAAAUGCUUAAUAAGUUGCAUGCAUGAUAUUGUAGAGCUCAACACUUAUAAACAAACCACUUGUCUCUCGCUUUCUAGGUUUGUCUAUUGACCAGUGUCAAUCGAUAAUUAUAUAGGAAUAUCGAUCGAUACACUUUCUGAAACGUCGACCGAUUAUUCUAUUGGAAUAUCGAUCGACGUUCUUGGUCAAGCGUUAAUUCGUGGGUUGAAUGUGCUCACUAAGCUCACUAGAUCAGCUCUCGCCUUACUCUUAGCAAGUCUUAGCUCACUUACGAUGGUUUCAGGGUGAGAUGCAAGCUAUCGCUUAUGUCGACAACUCCUAGGGCAAGUUCUAGGUAGCUAAUCUAGAAUCAGGCAUUAAUGACAAUCCUAAAGAUUAAUAUCACAACUUAGUAAUCUAUAGUUGGAGCUAAUCUCUCAUAACCUAUUUAAACCCUAAAUCUAACAAAGAGAACUACUCAGACAUGGCCAAGCAAUUCAUAACAUCAAUUAGGUAUGAAAACUGCAUUAGAUAAAUAAAAAGAUAUUAAUGGAGUUCCAAUCACAAAUGUCUUUGGAUUUUCUCUCCAAUCUACUAAAAUUCCUAAAAACAUUUUUCUGUGAAAUCAAUAAAACAAGAAAGCACACUUUUGCCUCUAACAUGUUGGCAAAGCUUAUAUAAUUAGGUUCAAACUCGUCAGGGGUAAUCUUGUAAAUAGGUGAAGACUUGGGCUUUAAGUCGGCUGAGACCAAACGGGCUUUUUGCGCGCUUCGCUGUUGAUCGAUGUCAAGAUCAUCGAUCGAUAAUUCCUCUUUAAUAUCGACUGAUAGUCGUGCUCGAUGGUCAUCUCGGAUGCUUACUCCAAAUAUCUCCAAAAUGCUCCAAAAUCAUCACUUUUCUCCGAAUCACUCUCAAUCCUAUAAAUAUACUAAAUAAACUCUAUAAAAUAAUAAUUAGUAGUUAAACCACUUAUAAAUCAUGGGUAAAAAUGGGUCUAAUCCAUGGUCUAUCAACUCCCCCAGAUUUACCCUUUUGCUUGUCCUCAAGCAAAACAUUCAGGCAGUCUCUCUGAAAGAUGUUUGAAAAUAACAGGAACUCACAUAAUUUUAAACUUAGAAUCAACACCUUAGACAGUCCUAGUCUCAGAAGCACACUAUACCAUAUCCUAGUCUAGCAACCAAGUUCAUCUAGUCAACAACUUAGCUAAUUAUGUUUGACAAUCUCCUCUACCAACCUCAAUUCUUACAUAAAUAAAGUGUAGGCUCAAACAAGUAUCUGGACCUGCAGCAAUAGUUCCUAUCAUCUCUCUCUCUCUAUUAAUUCUCCCUCAGUCAAAGUCUGCUUAUAUUGCAAGAUCAUUGACCAAGAUUGGACAAACUUCCAUGAAUCAAGCUUUAAUGGUUGUAGCCACCAAAUCCUGUUUACUUCUUUUUUACUUAUAUCCUAGGAUUAUUUAUGAAGCAAACCUUAAUGGUGGUAGCCACCAAGUCCUGUUUUAAUCUUUUUCCUAUAGAAUUCUUAUGAAGCAAGCCUUAAUGGUUGUAGCCACCAAGUCCUGUUCGAAUCCCUUCCUAAUUAAUAUAUAUAUAUAUAUAUAUUAACAAUGUCUAUAAUUAUAUCUCUAUAUUUCGAAAAUAGAGAGAGAGAGGGUGAUAAAUCUACACAAGGCUUUACCUUCCAGACUUGUUUGAAGAAUCCGAUCUCAUGUAUACCAAGCCCCAAGACAAGCAGAGUUGAGCUCAAUUAGGUUGGAGGUCAGCUUUGGUUCCUUCA
rnacentral:lncRNA from 1 species